CCUACGGGCGGCAGCAGUGAGGAAUAUUGGUCAAUGGGCGCGAGCCUGAACCAGCCAAGUAGCGUGAAGGAUGACUGCCCUACGGGUUGUAAACUUCUUUUAUAAAGGAGUAAAGUGAUGCACGUGUGCCUUUUUGUAUGUACUUUAUGAAUAAGGAUCGGCUAACUUCGUGCCAGCAGCCGCGGUAAUACGGAGGAUCCGAGCGUUAUCCGGAUUUAUUGGGGUUAAAGGGAGCGUAGAUGGGUUGUUAAGUCAGUUGUGAAAGUUUGCGGCUCAACCGUAAAAUUGCAAUUGAUACUGGCAACCUUGAGUACAGUAGAGGUAGGCGGAAUUCGUGGGGUAGCGGUGAAAUGCUGAGAUAUCACGAAGAACUCCGAUUGCGAAGGCAGCCUACUAGACUGCCACUGACAUUGAUGCUCGAAAGUGUGGGUAUCAAACAGGAUUAGAUACCCUUGUAGUC
rnacentral:rRNA from 1 species